GAGAGUAUAGCUCAGUGGUAGAGAGCGUACUUCGCAUGCACGAGGUUCUGGGUUCAAUUCCCAGCACCUCCA
rnacentral:tRNA from 1 species